rnacentral:misc_RNA from 1 species
AACGCACGAGACCUGCGGACCUGCGGAGGGAUCAUUAAUGAAUUAAAUUUUGUUGGGUUGUUGCUGGCCUCCAGUGGGCAUGUGCACAUCCAGCUUAAUUUUAUUACAACCACCUGUGCAUCUUUUGUAGACUUGAGAAUUAAUCGAGGAAACUCGGAUUUUAGAAAUUGCUUUCAUGGGCUUUUUCUUUUAUGUUUUCAAGUCUAUGUUUUUUAAAUACACAUAUAAUGAAAAAGUAUG